GAGAGGAACAAUUAGGGUUGUUUCAAACAGGGUAAAGUGUUCCUGCUGCUCCCCUCUUUAGCUUGGAGAAGCCAGUAAAUAUCUUUCUCUUCAAGGAACUUGUGGGCCUCAAGAAAACCUGCUAUAAUUCUAGUUUUUCAACAUUCCUCCUUCUGAUAUCAGCAACAACUCCUUACCCUUAAGAAUGGAGAAUGGAACUUCCUCAAAGAUAUUUACUUGGCCUCUGCAACCGGAAAGGGGAGCAGCAUGAAACUCUUUUAACCCUUACCCUGUAUUUGUCAAAAACAGAU